rnacentral:rRNA from 1 species
CCUACGGGAGGCAGCAGUGGGGAAUAUUGCGCAAUGGGCGAAAGCCUGACGCAGCGACGCCGCGUGAGGGAUGAAGGUCUUCGGAUCGUAAACCUCUGUCAGCAGGGAAGAACGGUCACUGUGCUAAUCAGCAGUGAAUUGACGGUACCUGCAAAGGAAGCACCGGCUAACUCCGUGCCAGCAGCCGCGGUAAUACGGAGGGUGCGUGCGUUAAUCGGAAUUACUGGGUGUAAAGCGGUUGUAGGUGGUAUGUCAAGUCAAGGGUGAAAUCCCCGGGUUCAACGUGGGAACUGCCUUUGAAACUGGCAGACUAGAGUGUGUGAGAGGAUAGUGGAAGUCCAGGUGUAGGAGUGAAAUCCGUAGAUAUCUGGAGGAACAUCGGUGGCGAAGGCGACUAUCUGGCACAUAACUGACGCUGAGGAGCGAAAGCGUGGGUAGCAAACAGGAUUACAUACCCUUGUAGUC